ACCCUUGAGGGUACCCCCCCCCCCCCCCCCCACUCCUCCAGGACAGUUCUGUGCCACCCCAGACCAGGGGUGUCCAAUAUUAUCUGCAAAGGGCUGACAUUGUCCUCAGAUGCCACCUCGGCCUCAGUCUGUGAAAUUUGUGUCCAGCUAGAUCUGCCCCUGUCAAACGUAAGUGCUAUUAUUUUGAAAUGGAGACAAAGUAAACUCACAGAUCGGGGUCGCCGAGUGCUGAAGCACAUAGCGCCUAUCCUCUGUUGAAUCACUCACUACAGAGUUUCAAAGUGCCUCUGGAAGCAACAUCACCAAAGAACUGUGCCUUGGCAGCUUCAGAAAAUGGGUUUCACUGGCUGAGCAACUCCACACAAGCAUAAGAUCAAGAUGCACGAGUCCAAGCGUCGGGGGUGAGUUGUCUAAAGCACGCCUCUGCUGGACACUACUGGAAUUGUGUUCUCUGUAGUGAUGAGCUAUGCUUCACCACUUGGCAGUCUGAUGGACGAAUCUAGGUAUGUCAGACGCCAGGAGAACAGCACCUACCAGAAUGCACAGUGCAAAUAGUAAGGCAGAAGGGAUAAUGGUCUGGGGCUGUUUUUGAGGGUACAGACUCGACCCCUUAGGCUUUGUGGCAGCAGUUUGGGAAAGGACCUUUCCAAUGGCCUGCACAGAGCCCUGACCUCUAACUUGGAAUGGAAUGUGUAGGUGUUAAGAAACCUCAGGCGAUUUAGUUUAUGUAAAACUGCCAUUUCUCUGUAUGUGUGUGUCUUAAAGAGAGAGAGAGAGAGAGAGAGAGUAGUGGAGAAUCCCCAGUGACUUUUGUUCUGAUUUAACUCAGUCAGUUUUGUUUGUCUGUGUUCAUUGCCCCUGGUCGAUGGUGAAGAGUGGUCGAUGGUGGAGAGUGUCCAGAAUUCGCUUACAACUGAUUUUUCUCGUUAUCUAUCUGGCUAUGUGAGUGUAAAAUAGAACAGCUGUGCUGUUUUCUUUUAGUGUGAAGACAAAUAACACUAGUCAGCGGCAACACCACACGAAAAAGAAAAAAACGUUACAUUUUACCCGCUUGAUUUGAUAUUGAUUUGAUAUGUUACAGUACAUGUGAACGUAGAUACUUUUGUACUUUCACUGAAGUCUGUUUUUGGCCCUAAGCCUCCGCGUUAAACUGCAUAAGAUUUCAACACAAUGCCCAAACUUUCUCGGUGCUUUUAUGCCCCUGCUAAUCAGAGCACUGGAGAACAGUAACAGUAGUCACAGCAGUGCUCAUAACCGGAAGUACUUUACAGUCAGGUUAAAAUGCCAUUUGUACAGAAAACCAACUGGUAUGGGCAGUUUUAGAAGGCAGCCGAGGCACUCAGAGGCGGGAGUGAGACAGAGGGAGGGGAACAAACCCUGGUUACCUGGCAGGAGACAGAAAAGCAUUAGAAUGAACGAGAAAGAGCAAGUUCAAGAAGUGAUGAGGAAGGGAACCGAAUUCACCGAGAAGGAGGCCGAGGUCUACAACAGAGAUGACUGAAGGAAGACAGACAAUCCACAGUAGCUCUGUGCUUCACUCUAUGUUGAACAGAUCCAAGUCUAAUGAGAAGGUCAAGCCAUCCGGCCUACAUACGUCUAAAUGGUAUAGCCACCCCAAGGACACAGAUCAGAGCACGUGUGAAGUUACUGUGGACAAAUUGGAAUCAAAUUGUCCAAGGAGAGACCAUUCAGAUACCACAAACGAGCCUCAAAGUUUAGAGAGCGCAGUCAGGAAUGGUGCUGAUGAAGAAAUUACAAGAAAUGACAGACUGGGAACUGACUGUCAAACGUCCAGAGCUUCUCCAAGCAUACUUCUCAAACACAAGAGAAGGAAAUACACGUCUAAUCAUUUGCGCAAUCUGAUGAAGGAGAAAGAGGAAGAUCCAGAGACCAAAGGUCAGCUUGAGCGGGAAAGUGUGAGGGCGGAGCCUGUGCCAGAGAAGGAAACUUCUAGAGCGGAAUCACAUUUCAAUAAUGUGAAGGACAGUCCGACUCGGGAACAGUCAUUAAGCCAUGGCCCCAUACAGCUCUUGCUUCUCACCCCAGGCCGAAGUGUUAUCAAAGGAAAAACAGUGUCAAAUACAGAACUUGGACCAGCUCCCUCAAAACCACCCCUAUCCAAUGAAUGCCACCUUAGCUUUGAGAAGGAUGGAAAACCUAAGACUCAAGAACCUUCAGACAAGGACAAACACAUGGCUAAACAAGGUCUGGACUCAUGCAAGACCUUUGAGAAUCCAAUCAGUAGGCCAGCGCGACCUGUUUCUGAUCCGGUACCGAAUGAAAUAAGAAGUGAUAGAUCUCUCUCAGUCCCAAACAGCGGCUCUAUGGCAGAUAUGAACAAAGCUGACAUGCAUUUUGGCCAAGCAAAUGAAAUUCCAGAACAGACAGCCAUGCUGAAGGCAGCUAUGCCAGAGCCAGUGGACUACGAUGGCUCUAAAACCCAAAAGAGGGUGAAGACGAAGAACAUCACUCAAAAAUUAGUAGCAAGGUUGAAAGAGAAAAAUGGACGUGAGCAGAAGAGAAGCAGUAGGAGCAACCAUGAUGAUGAAGGGGAGGCACGAUCUGUUACUUCUAUGGAACAAGCAGAGUCACCAGUGAAGCUCCAGCCUAGCCCACCCAUCCCCCCCAAAGAGAACUCCACUACGGUGCAUGUCAAACUACAAAGGACUUUUACGUUACAAGAAUUCACGCUCAACCUGGAGCCCAUCAACUUACUGGAGGAGGUCCUUACAGGUGAAGAAUGGGCGAGGUUCCUGCCUGCCAAAAAAGGCUCACCACAAGCUGAAUCCAAUGCCCGUUUACAGACAGAGAGCUCUGUUCCAUUGGAUGAUGUCCAGUCUCACAGUUUGGUUGUAAAGCAGGAACUAUCAGCAAAGAAAGAUGAAAGUCAUUCAGAUGUAGAUGAGAUUAGUAUUAGUGACACCACUUUAGACAAGGUCAGCCAGUCACGUCAAAGACAAGACAAGCCACACUCAGCCAUAUUUGCUGUUCCGAAGGCACUAAUAACUAACGCUGCAGUAAAACAAAGAAGAUCCGAAGUACCACAGUAUGAACCCUCCAGUGACGAUGAUGUUUAUGACUUCGUGGAGGUGUACAUGUUUCCAAAGGAGGAGCCAUUGAACAAGUCAAAGGCGAAGGAACUACCACUCGACGUGUCUGCAGUUAAGUCUUUAGGAGUCUUAGACAAUUCUGCACUUAAAAGUCGAAUCCACUUGAGCAAAAAGAGGAUGCAUCGACCACCGAAAAAGAGGAUAAAGGAGAAGCCAGAAGACACACAGUUUUCCAAAUUCUACACAUCCUGCACCCCUGUGGACCUUUCGCACCACUUCAGUGCCUCUACAACCUCAUCCUCCGAUAAGUCUGCCAUUGCCUCGUCUGUAUUUUACACUAAUGUCACAAAUUGGACACAAUCCUGUGACUCUGAAACUUCACCACCUACACCUGCUGAUGAGAAGGUUAGUCAGAGCAAGCUUGUAACAAUGUCUGACUGAGUCUCACUGAAUUACUAGAUAUUACAAUGAUCAUUAAAUUAAUGAUGCUGUGUUUAAACCUUGCUAUAUUUCCAAAUGUAUUAUUAACUUCAUAAUCCAUACAAUCCAUAUAUGGAAACUAAACUGCAAAUGCAGUCCAUUUUAAAUUCACCGAUUUGUUAUGUGAGGUAAACUAAAGCAUUUACUUUUACAAUUUCUUCUAUUUGUCACACUUGAAUGUUUCAGAUUAUCAAGCUACCUGGGUUAUCUCUAAAAUAGGAAAUUUUUAUGGGAGAAAAAUGCUGUUCAGCCCUGCCUGGCCCUAUGUGACAAAGUAAUUGCCCCUUAGCCACUCAAUCAAGCAGUUAACCAAAUUCACUUGAUUAUUGGGUUCAAUCACUUAAACAUCACUUAAAUAGAACCUGUCUGGCAACAUGAAGCAGGACAGAAGGCCUCAAAACGCAGCACAUGAUGCCACGUUCUAAAGAGAUUCAAAUACGGAUAUGAAACAAAGUCGUUGAAAUCUACCCCUAUGGAAAGGGUUACAAAGCCGUUGAUAAGGAUCUGGGUCUCCAGCAAACCACAGUGAGAGCCAUUAUUUACAAAUGGAGAAAACUCGGAACAGUAGUGGACUUUCCCAGGAGUGGCUCCCUACCAAUAUUUCACCAAGAGCGCAUCAGUGUCUCAUCCAGGAAGUCACAAAAGAACCCAGACAAACAUCUAAAGUACUCAACUAAAAGCCAAAGAGAAGGUCAUAAAACCAAAGCUGUGGAGGCCAAAGACAUAGUU